rnacentral:rRNA from 1 species
CAUUUUGAACUGCAUGGUUCGAAAUUGAAAGGCGGCUUCGGCUGUCACUUAUGGAUGGACCCGCGUCGCAUUAGCUAGUUGGUGAGGUAACGGCUCACCAAGGCAACGAUGCGUAGCCGACCUGAGAGGGUGAUCGGCCACACUGGGACUGAGACACGGCCCAGACUCCUACGGGAGGCAGCAGUAGGGAAUCUUCCGCAAUGGACGAAAGUCUGACGGAGCAACGCCGCGUGAGUGAUGAAGGCUUUCGGGUCGUAAAACUCUGUUGUUAGGGAAGAACAAGUGCUAGUUGAAUAAGCUGGCACCUUGACGGUACCUAACCAGAAAGCCACGGCUAACUACGUGCCAGCAGCCGCGGUAAUACGUAGGUGGCAAGCGUUAUCCGGAAUUAUUGGGCGUAAAGCGCGCGCAGGUGGUUUCUUAAGUCUGAUGUGAAAGCCCACGGCUCAACCGUGGAGGGUCAUUGGAAACUGGGAGACUUGAGUGCAGAAGAGGAAAGUGGAAUUCCAUGUGUAGCGGUGAAAUGCGUAGAGAUAUGGAGGAACACCAGUGGCGAAGGCGACUUUCUGGUCUGUAACUGAC